GGGGUAAUAUAGAAGGAUGAUUGAUGAUUUCUGAAACCCCUUUUCUUCUUCAGCAAAUUAAUGAAUCCAUAACAAUGUCAGAAGCCGCCACAUAGAAAGAGUUGCAGAGAAGCGAAGAAACCACACCUCUGUAAGUCAAAGGGGGCGGGGGAAGAUUCUCUGUUCUUGAGUGUCUAUGGGAUUUAGCUAGGAGGACUUCAGUACUAACUUAAUAUAAAAAAAAAUCACAUACAUAUUUAUACAAAAUAAUACAUGAAGGUCGAUACGUUACCAUUCGUAGGGGUUGACUUUUGAAACUAUAGCGCGUACAUACAAUGAACAGAUACGGCAGAGAAAGGUG
rnacentral:lncRNA from 1 species